rnacentral:lncRNA from 1 species
UAGUUAGUUGUGUGUUAGUGUAUCUCUAGGUCACGUGUUUGAACCUUUGUGUGUGCGUGUUCUGGAGUAAUAUUUUUAUUUUGUUAAAUAGUAAACUUGUUUUGAGUUUAAAAAAUAAUUAUUAGUUUCAUUUUUAUUAUUUGAAUUUCUAUUUUUGGCUACAAUUUUUUUUCUAUUUUGCACGUUCUCCUCUCCCUCUCCCUCUCCCUAUUUUCUUUUGUUUUCUUUUUGUUUUUUUUUUCUCUUUGAAAAACGAUUUUUGCUUGCGGAUUUUGGAGAGCUUCGCUCCUUUGUUGUUGAGUCGGCAUCUGGAUGUCUUUGAUCGCAAAUCAGGUGUGGGUUUCGAAACUUUUAAAUUUUUGUUAAAGAAUUGUGGUUGUUUUCAUGAAAUUAGAAAUUUUUGUGUGCUUGUGGAAUCGAUCUUUCAAAAGGGGCGAUUAUCGUGGAAUAGUUUAGAAUUAGGGGUGAUUUUGCUAUAUUUUUGAGUAAUUAAGGAUUGAGGAACAUUUUGGCAGCAAAGGCACGUUCG